CGGCAUGGCGGCCAUUCAGACUUGUCAUCUCUGGCUUCACAAGGGCUCAGGCUCUGAUAAGACAGAAGCAAAGGUCUGAUUGCAUUCUCAUCCCCUCCGGAGGCUUGGCGUCAAUUUCUGGAAGAAUCUGAAUGCACUGUAACAGUUUUGUAGAUUGGGUAAGAGCUACUGAAACGGCAGUUUCACUCUCAAGAGCCAAGCUUCCUCCCCUGGGUCGACGAGCUCCACAACUCGCAAACCUCGACUCCUCCAACUCACUCCCCGAGUUCAGGAUCUCUGCCCCCUCCGCUUCUCCUCCUUGUCUUUCACAUCAAACUCAUUCAGUUUCCCUUCCAGAUGACACCUGGCUCCUGAAAUGAGUGCUCUAAA